rnacentral:rRNA from 1 species
CCUACGGGGUGCAGCAGUGAGGAAUAUUGGUCAAUGGACGAGAGUCUGAACCAGCCAAGUAGCGUGAAGGAUGACUGCCCUAUGGGUUGUAAACUUCUUUUAUAUGGGAAUAAAAUGUUCCACGUGUGGGAUUUUGUAUGUACCAUAUGAAUAAGGAUCGGCUAACUCCGUGCCAGCAGCCGCGGUAAUACGGAGGAUCCGAGCGUUAUCCGGAUUUAUUGGGUUUAAAGGGAGCGUAGGUGGAUUGUUAAGUCAGUUGUGAAAGUUUGCGGCUCAACCGUAAAAUUGCAGUUGAAACUGGCAGUCUUGAGUACAGUAGAGGUGGGCGGAAUUCGUGGUGUAGCGGUGAAAUGCGUAGAUAUCACGAAGAACUCCGAUUGCGAAGGCAGUUCACUGGACUGCAACUGACACUGAGGCUCGAAAGUGUGGGUAUCAAACAGGAUUAGAUACCCUUGUAGUC